rnacentral:lncRNA from 1 species
GCCGACCUUCUACAGUGACCAACUAUUUUUUGAACUCCUUUCAGACUCCGUCAAUAUCCGAGCUUCUUCGACAAUGAGGUUUCUACAUAAAUCAGACUCCAUCUGAGUUUCUACGGUGAUCGACCGCUUUCAAGAUUCUAACCAAACUCCUACAGCGGGCAGUCUACUCCGAACUUCUACUACGAGCGGUCUACUCCAAACUUCUACUAUGAGCGGUCUACUCCGAACUCCUACAGCGAGCGAUCUGCUCCGAACUCCUAC